ACAAGUGAUGUGCUCCUCGCUGCCCAGCACCUGGCCGGGUAGAGCCCGCGUUCCACCCUCUGGGGCUUUCAGCCAAGCGAGUUGCGAGUGACAAGGCCAGCGAGCGCGACUGGCCCUGCAAGGCAGCGCGACGGAAGGGGUGGAUGUUUACAUGCAGCCAGGACGAGCAGCGCCACUCCGGGGUUUCCUGACUAAAGGAUCGGAUUGUGGUGUUGAGUGACAGGCACAGCUCUCUGCAAACAAGACUGUAUUUGGAUAACGUUCAAGGGAACAGAAUAUUUGAAAUUUUCAUUAAAACUGAUUUGAACAAGUCAUAAAAUACAGUGUUAACCUAAUUCCUUAGGUGAUCAGACACAAAGCAGCACAAACUCUGAGUGGAACUGGCUAACCAUGAGACUGGCAAGGAGCGGACCUGUCAGCUGCCAAUCAGAGGCCUCAUCCCCAUUCAAAGGGAAGCAGGAAAACAGAUAUGGAUUGGCUCUGGAACUGUUUGAGGGAAGAGAGUGGCAGUCACGCUACAGAGUUGUACUCAAAAAGUCAGAGCCCCUGAAUUUUAAGUUGUGAAAAUUACGAAGAAAUCAGUUUGGCUAGAAAGUGUCCAUUUAUCCAGGUUCUUCAAAGCUAAUCCACUCCACCUCCGGUACUAAUCAGAGCUGGCUGGCUUGCUACUGUGAACACUGAAUUUGAUAUCUUGAGUAACUCCAUACUUACCCUCCUUAGCCAAAGCAGGAAGGAGCAGGGAUGUGGGUCAGAAUAUCUGAUCUCUGCUGAUGCAAAAAGAGGAACCAGCCUAAUCUUUACUUUCCUCAAAACUUUUCAAGGAGGUUGGCAUUUCUUUUUCUUUUGUGGAAGACUCCAAGAAGUUUUAAAAAUGAAAGAAUUCACCUGCAGUCACGUGGCUCACAAUUAACAAGUGAAUGCUUGGAAGCCUUCAGUUGGUCCCAGCACUACAAACAUAAUAAACAUGAAUAUUCAUGAAAUGAAUACUAUUUCUACAACCCAGGCGACUUCAGUACUCAUUAGUUCUAUUUUAUUGACGAGAAAAUCUAGGCAAGCCUAUUCAACUGGAUGGAACCAGUUUUCUUACAGAUAAAGUGAAAGCAAUUCUCACAUUAGCUCAUGCAGUGCAAAGUUGGUCAUGCUGUACAAUCUACAGAAAAAUCUCUCCUUUCCCCAGAACGCAAGAGUGUUGUG